rnacentral:lncRNA from 1 species
GUGCGUAGCUAACUACAAGCGACGACGAGUGUAUUCGUUAAACAUAUUCAACGGGUUCAGUUCAAAUUUAUUUCGAAUCUAUUUCGAAAUAUCGGCAACAGGAAAACUAGUUCUCUGUUCGUAGCUUCGAUAAUGCAACAAAAGUAUCAACGCUUGGACCACCAUUUUGCCAACCUAACACUUAUUGAAAUACUUGCGGUCGAUGGUGUAUGUUGGAUCGUUUGAAAAGACGCAACGACGACAUUCCACGGAUGGAAAAGAAGGAGAGUUUACGACUCGGUCGUGCGAUUUGACGAUAUUCCGAGAGAAGUGUGUGACGGACAUAAAUUUCGUCGGCGAGAGAUCGAUAAACGUUGCUUUAUGGUUUCCUUGAUUUCGCUCGUUUACUCUGUGCUCGCGGUGGAACACGAGGAAAGUAAUCGAGAAGGUUUUAUCGUCGACACGGAGGGGGUCCCUUCGUUUCAACGUUCAUUGUUUAAUUGUUCGCGUUUUAUUCGCAGAGAUUCGUAAGAUGGAGAUCCUCCGGCUGCUUUAAAUCAAUAUACACCGUGGCAAUACCGAUAGGAUGAAUACAAUUCAUGUACAGUCGAACCGCAAGAACUAAAAUCUUCGAAUUACAGAGAUUUCGACUUAUCAAAAUUUCCAGUAAAAGAGAGAUAGCAAAGGAAAAUUCGACAUACAGAAGUUUCAGACGAAGGAAAAAUCCAAGAGUGUUUGUAGAAAACACUGUAAGUGGCAAGCUUGACAAAUUUUGAUUUUUCAUUGGGACAUGUUUUAUAUACCAAUGAGGAUACUGUAGCAUAGAACUUGGGUGCAAUUUCCCUUUCUAAAUGAUUAUUAAUAAUGCCAGAUGAUGGUGUUACAGUCUUUGUAGAAAAAUAUAUGGACAAAUAAACAUUAGUUAAUUGUU